CAGUUAAACUUUGGUAAUGUGCUCAUCCCUCGGCCCUUAGUCACCUCUUACGACACUCACGGUAAAGAAAGGGGUCAUUUACAUAUAAAAUGAGAUUUUCUUUAUUACUUCCGAAAGGUACUUGCUUGUUUUAGAUAUACUGGUAACAAUAGAUUAGAGCUAAUUAUGUAAAAUACAACCAUAUUACCUGGGACACCCCUAUCACACGGCUGUUUUUUGUACAAUUAACUGAAUGAACUACGUGCCAAACCAUACUAUUUGUGGCAGCUCACAACAUAAGAACCGCCAAAACUGCGCUCAUGAAUAAGAGCUCCUAUUGAGUUCGAAACUAGUCGAGCAUCCCCGGAUUUAAAUUAAUAUUUCAGACAACAAGAGUGAGACCGGCGACAACAGCGGCUUGCAGCAUGAUUACGUUAUUAUCAUUUUAUAGCUAUGACAUCAGGAGAAAGACUAAGUAGUACCUAUUAAGCGAAAUAACUGAUAUGGAAGAGAGAAACCAGCUGAUGCUGAAAACGUUUGCAAACACUCCUGCGUCUAUAGCAAUGAGCUUUUCAAGAGUUUUUAGAAUUCUAAGAGAAUAAUGUUAUCUCAAAGUAAUGAGAAGCCUAGUCGUCUCCCCUGAAUGGAUUCUCCAUGAGGGAUUUCUUAUUAUCACCACCAUGCCAUUUUUAUUUCUACGACUAAAGGAACAAAAUCUCUGCAUAAAACGCCAUACUAAACCAACUGACUUGCGUACUAAUAAAUGUUUAAUAGAUACUGAAAUAGAAACCUCAUCUGCACUAUCUUUGUACGCUAGCGGGGCACCAGUGAGUGAUGUUAGGUAAAGAUGAAGCAGGUCAGUUGGCCCAUCGUGACGAAUCAAAUAAGAAUUAUCCAAGAUGAGUUUCCAGGAGAAGAAUGAUCUGUUAGAGUAUUUUGCUAACAACAGGGUAGUAAAGAUGAAGUCUUGCAUCAUAGGGAAAUGAGUCCGGAAACCCAGUAAAAGAAAUAAGCAUACCGCAGAGGCAAAUUCGGCUCGUUUCCUGCGGGCGGGAACACUACGCCCGCGAUUGAUCUAGCGUUACUGGAUUGGUUCCAGAUUGCGAAACGUCUUAAUUUCAAUAUGGAUUUAUUGGAAUUUAUUUGAAGAGUAACCCUACUGGACAGUGUAAAAGGCUAACUUAAAUGCUUAAAACCAUAUUACGGUGUUAUCUACUAGUCAACUAUAGACAAUAUAACAAAAAUAAUAAAAAAAAAUUAUCUCAUGAAGAAAUCUUUGUGAAAAUAAAACGCUUGGAAAAAAAUUUUGGAGACAAAUAUACAUCGUGAAGAAUUUUAGGUAAUUUAGUUUUAAGGCAGUAAGCGUAUUUAAUCAAUCAUGUAAGUAAAUUAUUCUGUAUUAAGGUCAAGGUAAGCAGUGGGAGUGUUCGUUUUUCACCGUCCGUGGUAGUAGAUAUAAAUAUAAGUUAUAUUCGCAUAUGUAGUCAGAUCGCAAACUGUUACACUUUAAUCCAAUCAGAUCUGAUACUCUAAAUCGAUUUGUCAAUACAUUUACAUACAUUUUUAAUGUGAUAA